CUCUAAACUUCAAAGAUGUUGGUCCCUCUGUUGAUGCAAGUUCACAUCAGCAGAGAGGAAAGUCUCCUGAACCCAAAUGUUUGUCCAUGAAGAGUGAUCAGUCUUUUGGUCGUCUGCUUAACUUCAACGAUGGACGCCGUUCUUAUGACACAGAAGAGGACCAGGAGAGCUCAGAGGUUCCCACAGGUCCGUC